rnacentral:pre_miRNA from 1 species
CUUGUACUCCCUCCGUCUGUAAAUACUUGUCAUUGAAAUGGAUGUAUCUAGAUGUAUUUUAGUUCUAGACACAUCCAUUUUUAUGACAAGUAAUUCCGGACAGAGGGAGUACUUG